GCCCGUCGCUCCUACCGAUUGGAUGACUCGGUGAAAUCACCGGAUGCUUACGAGCAGAAAGUGAUUAAAUCACGUUAUCUAGAGGAAGGAGAAGUCGUAACAAGGUAACGGUAGGUGAACCUGCCGUUGGAUCAGUUCUAGUUUUAAUAACUAACACCAACUUCUUUUAUUAAACAAAAACCAAUACAAAAUUAAAAACUAACUUCAUCAAAAACCAAGUCUCUAAGCAAUGGAUGUCUUGGCUCCUCACACGAUGAAGAACGUGGCAUAAUGUGUUAAGUAACCGGAGUUGCAAACAUCAUGACAGGUUAAUCUUUGAAUGCAAAUUGCGCUAAACUCGAUCUCGGUCGAGAAGCAUGGGUGUGACAGUACUACAUCUUUUAUAAUA
rnacentral:rRNA from 1 species